CCAUCCUCACUGCCUCAGCCUUCUGAGUAGCUGAGACUACAGACCUACAGUUGUUUAACGUCACCACCGGAUCUGGGAAAAAUGGCUUAUGGGCAGUUUCACGUCAUAAAAUCUUCCUGCUAUUAUUAAACAGAAAAAAACGCCCGUGAGCUCAAAGAAGGAGAGUGCUGUUCAUGAGGUUGGAGGCAUUUUGCAAUGGUUGUUGUGGAAGAUAAAGCGCAGCCUGGCAUAUGCUCUUUCAAAGGAAGUUCUCAGGAAUAUCCUGUAUAUGGCACCAGACCUCAGACAAUUCAGGCCUCUUUCUUGAUCCAGGAGAGAAUCAACUCUGAUAAGAAACAUCUACAAUCUUUUCUCUCUGAAGCCUGCUACCUGGAAGCUUCUUUUGUGUAAGGGGAACCAUUUAGGGGUCUCCACAACCCCUUAUCUUAACCCAGACAUUCCCUUCUAUUGAUUCUAGAUUUUUAGAUAAUAACCUCUUUCUACCAAUUGCCAAUCAGAAAGUCUUUGAAUCCCCCUGUGACCUGAAAGCCCCACCUUGCUUUGAGUUGUCCUGUCUUUCCAGACCAAAUCAGUGUACAUACUACGUGCAUUGAUUGAUGUCAUAUGUUCUCCUAAAAUGUUUGAAACCAAGCUGUAGCCCGACCACCUUGGGCAUAUGUCCUCAGGAUCUCCUAAGGGCUGUGUGACAGGCUAUUGAUCACUCAUAUUUGGCUCAGAAUAA